CAGCCGCCGCGGGAAUACGAAGGGGGCUAGCGUUGCUCGGAAUCACUGGGCGUAAAGGGUGCGUAGGCGGGUCUUUAAGUCAGGGGUGAAAUCCUGGAGCUCAACUCCAGAACUGCCUUUGAUACUGAAGAUCUUGAGUUCGGGAGAGGUGAGUGGAACUGCGAGUGUAGAGGUGAAAUUCGUAGAUAUUGGGAAGAACACCAGUGGCGAAGGCGGCAACCUGGUCCUUGACUGACGCUGAGGCGCGAAAGCGUGGGGAGCAAACAGGAUUAGAUACCCCAGUAGUCCCUGUCUCUUAUAC
rnacentral:rRNA from 1 species